CUGGGGGCAGCGGGCGUCGCCCUCAAGAAAGUGGCAUCCGCGCCCGCACCCCGUCCCGGGCGCGUUCACGGCUGGGAAGAAGUUUUGCAGUCCGCGGAAGCGCUCAGCGACAUUACUGGGGAGGCCCGGGAAGGAACUUGGUCACUGGGGUUCGGGAAGGGGGAGGGCGGGAGUGGGGGCGCGCGGGCCCCGCAGGAGAGGCGAGGGGGCCGGAGCCCGUCCUUCCCUAAGGCCACAGUUCCUUGCUGACUCCAUGAGGGACACUGGCGAUGAACUAACUUUCUUUUCCUGAAAAGGCUCCCACGGCUGAGUUGUUCCCGGCCCACAGCGACCCGUCCCCAUCCGGUUCCUGAUCUGCACCCGCCUCGAGCCCGGCGCGUCCACCCAGCCUGGGCGCUGCCCAGUACCCGCCGGCCGGCGCGGGGCUCCUGGAGCAGGCUUCACUCACCGAAGCAGCGCAGCAGGCAGACCACGCCGAGGACCCCCAGGGCUCGCCCCGCGUAGCUCCCAGCUACCAUGACUCGUCGGGCCGGCCUCUGCGCAAGUACCCAGCCACGAGCAAACCUAAGUUCAAGCACCGCCUACGCGGGCGGCCAGAAGUAGGGCUCCGCCCCGCCCGGGGCUGGCAGCCCGCGGCCCGCCCCGGCCCUUCCUCCUCCACCCUCCCCGGCCCUUCCUCCCCCACCCUCUGCGGCGCCGCAUUCGUCUUCCCGCUUCCACUCCCCAGGCGCGCUCCUGGGCUCGGCUCUGCGCGUCUCCUUCCUGUAUCCCCGGGGCGCCGUCCAAUCCCCCAGCUCGGUCCCUCCCGGCAUUCCACCGCCAUUCCAUACGCUAUUUUUAAGUAAUCAAGGAUGAGAAAAGAAGAAAGGAGGGCUGCUUAAGAGGCCGGGGCUGUUCUUCCUAGCAUGUCACUCUCUGGUGUCUUGACUCUCGUUUCUGCCAAACCCUUGGAACCACUCCCACAAAGCUUAGGAAUCCCAGAAGAUGUAAACCCCUCCCAACACUGGAAGAGGAAACAGAGACCAGUGCGCUGUGCAGUCUCAUUUAAUUAGAAGGCACAGCUCCUGCUCUUACCACCAUUCUGGGAAAUCCCUGCUGCAUUUCAUGGCCAGGGCAGCACUUCAUAGUUGGAAAAGGAUGGUGUGGACUUGCUGCAGAGGCCCUAGAGAUGGCCAUCCUGUGUUCCUGCUCUCCUUCUCAUCCAGUUUCUACCCCCUAACCCCCAACAAAAACUCGACAGGUUGUAAGAUCUACAUUCUGAACCUGCCUUUCAGGGGCUAAGUGUGUUGUGUGUUGCACAGCUCUAGCGGUAGCACAGCCUUGAUCAUCGGGGCGGAGGUGUCUAUUGACUAUGGUAUGUUGCAGCAGAUGGCAGUGAAGUGUCUUGAGGAAGAGGUGUUUUUAUCAUUUCAAGGUUAUGGGGUGUAAUAAUAAA